rnacentral:lncRNA from 1 species
CCCAUUUACUUUUCUUGUUCUGCCUGCGGACUAUAACUGCUUGAGAUCUGCAAAGCCACGUGUUCCCUUGGGAUUCAACCCCAACCUCUAUUGGGUUACGAUAUUUUGACAGCGACCGUAUCAUCAUCUGAUAGGAGGUAUUGUUUAGAUGUCAUUUUCAAUGAAUGCCGACCAAAGUUAAUCACAUGCCAAACUUUUAACAUCUCGUCUAAACG